UACAGAGGUCCCAAGCGUUGUUCGGAUUCACUGGGCGUAAAGGGUGCGUAGGUGGUGAGGUAAGUCGGAUGUGAAAUCUCCAAGCUCAACUUGGAAACUGCAUUGGAAAACUACCUUGCUAGAGGAUUUGAGGGGGGGAUUGGAAUACUUGGUGUAGCAGUGAAAUGCGUAGAUAUCAAGUGGAACACCAGUGGCGAAGGCGAAUCCCUGGAAAAUACCUGACACUGAGGCACGAAAGCUAGGGGAGCAAACAGG
rnacentral:rRNA from 1 species